ACGAACGCUGGCGGCGUGCUUAACACCUGCAAGUCGAACGGAAAGGCCCUGCUUUUGUGGGGUGCUCGAGUGGCGAACGGGUGAGUAACACGUGAGUAACCUGCCCUUGACUUUGGGAUAACUUCAGGAAACUGGGGCUAAUACCGGAUAGGAGCUCCUGCUGCAUGGUGGGGGUUGGAAAGUUUCGGCGGUUGGGGAUGGACUCGCGGCUUAUCAGCUUGUUGGUGGGGUAGUGGCUUACCAAGGCUUUGACGGGUAGCCGGCCUGAGAGGGUGACCGGCCACAUUGGGACUGAGUUACGGCCCAGACUCCUACGGGAGGCAGCAGUGGGGAAUAUUGCACAAUGGGCGGAAGCCUGAUGCAGCAACGCCGCGUGCGGGAUGACGGCCUUCGGGUUGUAAACCGCUUUCGCCUGUGACGAAGCGUGAGUGACGGUAAUGGGUAAAGAAGCACCGGCUAACUACGUG
rnacentral:rRNA from 1 species